UGAUAUUAAACAUCGCCAUGAAGCUGCUGAUUGUGUUUGCACUUCUUUGUGUAAUGGUCCCUCUGUUCAUUUCUGCUCAAGAAGGGGGUGAGACUGGGGAAGAGGAUAAGACAUCAGAAGAAGAUCUUCUAGAGAAGAGAGGCUUGGGGGGCAAACGUCCGUUUAGUGGUAAACUCAAUUGGGGCAGACAUCGGUUUGGUGGUAAAGUCAAGCUAGGCAGACAUAAGUUUGGUGGUAACGCCAAAUGGGGCAAAAAUGGGUUUUCUGGUGGAGUCAGCUGGCGAAGACGACAUGGGAAUCAGGUGUAUGAAUGAUAUAUGCCACACUAUUGACACCACUUUUAUCUGGGUCCGAAAAAGAAGAUGAUUCCUGUUCUUUCAUGGAAAGCAUGGUUCAUCGCACCAAGAAGCAAAUCAUUUCAUCCAACUCCCUGAACUAUCUUUUUACACUUUUACAUCUUUACUUUUUUUCUUUUACUGUAAUGCUACAUAAUGAAUGAAGCAACAAGUGACACAACUGGAGUGGACUGGGCCGUCUCUUUUAAGAGCAAAUGCUAUUCAUUUCUGUUCUUAUUAUCUUCAUCAUUAAACUCUUAAGCAUUAAAUCAAAAUAUUCUCUGAGUCUUUGUCACAUGUUACAAUUUCAUUGGCUCUCUUCAUUUUUAAAUACAUAAAUAGAAAACAACACAUCUGACCUGCUAAUAUGUGACUGAGCUCAAAGCAUUUACUGAAGGAGAUUCUAAACAAUAUCCAG
rnacentral:lncRNA from 1 species